rnacentral:tRNA from 1 species
GCGGAUGUGGUGGAAUGGCAGACACGAUAGACUUAGGAUCUAUUGGGCGACCGUGGGGGUUCAAGUCCCUUCAUCCGCACCA